UUCUAGGAUCUCCCCUAAGACAAAAACUCUGGUAACCAUAGCAGCAUUGCCAUCCAAUCUCUUGAAUCCACAACAAAAUGCGGCUAGAAAUGCUUAGCACAGUCUCCAAGGCAAACAUCGCUGUGAUGAGUGACAAACUGAAACAAUAGGAACUGCUCCUGUUGCCAUGGAAACAGGCCUUUCCGUCUGAGCGGCUCCAUCCUAGGAUUCACAAUCUGAAGCUUUGCAAAGGAAUGCUUGUCUUAACUUCCCUACUGGUUAGCACUCACCAGCAGACUAACGUUGCCUUGACGGAAAGUAUGAAAGAUCAUUUAGAAAGGGGAAAGGUUGAACUCCUCCAGCUUACUGUCAUUGAAGAGAUCCUCAGAUUUCACCUUGGAGUUCCAGAGUAA
rnacentral:lncRNA from 12 species